rnacentral:rRNA from 1 species
UACGUAGGGUGCGAGCGUUAAUCGGAAUUACUGGGCGUAAAGCGUGCGCAGGCGGUUUUGUAAGCCAGAUGUGAAAUCCCCGGGCUUAACCUGGGAAUGGCAUUUGGGACUGCAAGGCUUGAGUGCGGCAGAGGAGACUGGAAUUCCCGGUGUAGCAGUGAAAUGCGUAGAUAUCGAGAGGAACACCUGCGGCGAAGGCGGGUUGCUGGGCUGACACUGACGCUGAUGCGCGAAAGCCAGGGGAGCGAACGGG